rnacentral:rRNA from 1 species
GUCUACGGCCAUGCCGCUCCGAACGCGCCCAAGCCCACCUAGUCUUGGAAGCCAAGCAGGGUCGGGCCUGGUUAGUCCUUGGAUGGGAGACAGCCUUGGAAUCCGGAGUGCUGUGGGCU